rnacentral:rRNA from 1 species
AGAGAGAGACAUGCGCGCAUAUCAAUAAGCGGAGGAAAAGAAACUAACAAGGAUUCCCCUAGUAACGGCGAGUGAAGCGGGAAGAGCUCAAAUUUGAAAUCUUAAAGGGUUUCCCUUUACGAAUUGUAGUUUGAAGAAGUGUUUUCUGUUGAGGUUUUGGUAAAAGUUCCUUGGAAUAGGACAUCAUAGAGGGUGAGAAUCCCGUAUUUGACCUUUACUUUCAACUUUGUGAUACACUUUCAAAGAGUCGGAUUGUUUGGGAAUGCAGUCCAAAAUGGGUGGUAAAUUUCAUCUAAAGCUAAAUAUUGGCGAGAGACCGAUAGCGAACAAGUACCGUGAGGGAAAGAUGAAAAGAACUUUGAAAAGAAAGUUAAACAGUACGUGAAAUUGUCAAAAGGGAAGCGUUUGACACCAGUGUUGUUUUUCUGAAAAUCAAUUAAAGAACUGUUUAUGCUAAGCUGUUUAGACUUUAUCAGCUAACUGUUUAGUUUUGAGCUUUUCUUUAAUGCACUUUUCAGUUAACAAGUCAACAUCAAUUUCUUUUGCUAUAAAAAAGCUUGAGGAAGGUGGCUUGAGAUUCGUCUUAAGUGUUUAUAGCCUCUUGCCUAUGCAGUCGGAGAGAUUGAGGUCUGCAGCGUAGAUCCUUCGGGGCUAAAUGCAUUUGUGCUAAGUUAUAGCAUUUUAUAGACAACUUGUUGACUAUGAUUUGUCUUGUAGCUUACUCGCUUAUGUUAUUUUACCUACGCUUAGGAUGUUGAGCGCAUGUCUCUCUC